ACCAAGCGAAGGUCACAAAACCUGACACUUUCUGUUGUACCAAAGUCUUCGCUGAUUUUGUGCAUCAACAAAUGUACCACUUUGUUAUAUGUGAAAUGUACCAAUUUUUUUGAACACUAUGAAUACAUUCUUUUGCCAUUUAUUAUUUCUUAUUUUUACAUAGUUAUUAUCCAUUUAUUCAAUCAAAAAUUUUGAAUUUUUUUAUUGUAACCAUUUCUAAUAGUAUUAUAAUGAGGGAUUUUAAAUUUAUAGGAUUAUAAAUGACACACUCUGACCUAAAUCAGGGCAUGCUGGUCGUCACGUGAGGGUGACGUAGCCAUGUGCACAAUGACACACCCCGACCGAGAUCAAGGCAUGCUUGCCGUCACGUGAGAGUGAUGUAGCCAUGUGCACAGUGCGGAAGCGAUAAAGAUAAGAAUUAUAUGAAUAAUUAAAAACCGAAUUACUAGAGUGCACUACUAAACAGAAAGUGAUAGGAGUUAGUUACAAUAGUAGACACUCCUAAUCAGAGCAUAAAGUCUAGGUGCAGUCUAGUAGGACAAGUACUAGUUAUACAGUACCAGGAAUGUCCUACUAUUAUUU
rnacentral:lncRNA from 1 species